rnacentral:lncRNA from 1 species
CCCUCUCAGAGGCACCCUCCUCUCCUACCCGCCAAGCGUUCUCCGCUGGCCUGUGAGAUACGGUCCUCCCUCCACCUCCCCUUCUCGGCCUUCGCGAGUGUGGGUGCCUCGGGGCACUGGCGAGACCCUCCAGGAACAUGAAUGCUGAGGCCAAGAAGAAGAAACAGCCAAAUGAGACAACUGGCAACCCAGAUACAGAACAACUUAGCGGAAGAAAGGGUGGAAGAGAAGUUUCUCAUGCUUGCUUUAUGAACGUGGCCUUGAAAAUGUCCACAGAACUAUUGUUUUCUUGUUGAGUCUGCAGCCAGGAAGGCAGAAAUCACUGCGGCAAAGCAGGUGUGAACGUCCCCCUACUUGAGGCAGCUCUCUUUGAAGCUGGAAAAUCAAGGACGCUGGUACCUUCAAGGAAACAAGGAUAUAAUUAUCACAACACCCAAUUGGCCAGUGACCUUCCAUUCCUCACGCCUGCCCUCCUCCCUUCGCUGGCACCAGCCCAGGUCCGCACAGACUGAGCUCUCUCUGUGUCCCAGACCGGUGCUCAGACGGAGGAGCAGCCCACUCCUGCACCCUUUGAAAGCUUCUUAAUCUCUUUCUACUGCGCUGCUCUUGCUGACAUAAAUCCGCCAGCCCAGGGGGCCCCUGAGCCCCCCACAGAGGGAGGCCCUCCAGGCCAAGUGGAGUCUGAGCAGCUAAGGCGUAGAAUUUAUGCUUCCUCUCACCUGUGCCGUCUGUCUGUGGCCUCUGCUCCAGUCUUUUUUGAAGGUUUGCACAGAACCUCCCAGCUCCUUGCCAAGUCUGCCAUCAUCACCUCCGUCACAGAAGCUGACUUCUCAAGGCCACUGGAAGCUAAUAACAGGGACUCUCAACUUCAUUAUUAUAUUUGAAAUGUUGAAAGCAGAAGCUAAUAAAAUAAGUUCAGAAAAACAAAAAGAGCUAUAAAUUAUCAUUGGAAAGGAGUGGCUAAAGAGUUCAUCUACUCAAAACACCUAGGGGCUAUUUCUCAAUUACAGCAAUAAUCCAGUCUUUGGUCUUCUUCCUUUCAUUGUGCAAAAGCCUUGGCUGUGUUCUCUUAGCACAGGUUCUCGUCUGCUUCUAUGGUCAAGUGUCUAGAAUCAAGAGUUACAAAACAAACACUCCCUACCCAACUCCUUGACACACACACACACGCACACGCACAUGCACACACUUACUCACUCAACUCCCCACUCAGCCUUGGUCCUAAAGCAUACACUGAAUUGUACUAGUUCUUUCAGUUAAUGAUAAUGAUGAUUAUGGAAACAACUAAGAAAUUUUAAUAACCUAGCCUAUAAUGCUGUAAUACAAACAUAGGAUCAUAGGAAAUUUAGCCUACCUUAUGGUCAAUCAAUACUCAGGGCAAAUUCACAAUUUAUUUUAAAGUACGUAUAAAAUUAUAUUUCCUUCACAGCAUAAGACUACCUAUGCUAUGCUGGUAUAUUUAAUUGAAGAACACCAGAAGAAUUAUUCCCUGUAAAAUCAGAAGCAAACUAGUGAUACCCAUAUCACUGUUCAUGUUUGAACAAUACUUUGGAAAUUCUAGACCAGUGGUUCUCAGCUGGUGAUUUUGCUUCCCAGGGGACAUUUUGCAAUGUCUGGAGCCAUUUUUGGUUGUCAUAACCUUGGAGAUGGGAAGUGCUAUUGGUAUGUUGUGGGUGGAGGCCAGGAACACUGCUAAACAUCCUACGAGGCACAGGGUGGCCCCCCAACAAAAAAAUUAUCCAGCCUAAAAUAUCAAUAGUGUUGAGGUUGAGAAAUCUUGUUCUAUAUAAUGCAACAAAACCAUAAAACAUAAAUGAGAUAGUUUAGAAAAAUAAUUUUCAUUAUCAUUACCUGAAAAGAGUAUGUAUCACUGAGAAAAACAAAAAACAAUUAAACAUUUAAAAUUUAUGAAAUAGUAAAUAACAUAGCUGGAUAAAAUAUUUUCAUUUACCUGAGAGACUAAGAGUCUAAAUUCUCCUAUGAGUUUAUUAUCUAUUCUACAAAAUUUUUCUGAGAACAAAAGGAUUAGUUUAGAAAAGAAUACUUAAGAGGUAUGAGAA